AUGAACGCUAGCUACAGGCUUAACACAUGCAAGUCGAGGGGCAGCGGGAUUGAAGCUUGCUUCAAUUGCCGGCGACCGGCGCACGGGUGAGUAACGCGUAUCCAACCUUCCGUACACUCAGGGAUAGCCUUUCGAAAGAAAGAUUAAUACCUGAUGGUAUGAUGAGAUUGCAUGAUAGCAUCAUUAAAGAUUUAUCGGUGUACGAUGGGGAUGCGUUCCAUUAGGCAGUAGGCGGGGUAACGGCCCACCUAGCCGACGAUGGAUAGGGGUUCUGAGAGGAAGGUCCCCCACAUUGGAACUGAGACACGGUCCAAACUCCUACGGGAGGCAGCAGUGAGGAAUAUUGGUCAAUGGACGAGAGUCUGAACCAGCCAAGUAGCGUGAAGGAUGAAGGUCCUACGGAUUGUAAACUUCUUUUAUAAGGGAAUAAAACCUCCCACGUGUGGGAGUUUGUAUGUACCUUAUGAAUAAGCAUCGGCUAACUCCGUGCCAGCAGCCGCGGUAAUACGGAGGAUGCGAGCGUUAUCCGGAUUUAUUGGGUUUAAAGGGAGCGCAGACGGGUCGUUAAGUCAGCCGUGAAAGUUUGGGGCUCAACCUUAAAAUUGCAGUUGAUACUGGCGUCCUUGAGUGCGGUUGAGGUGUGCGGAAUUCGUGGUGUAGCGGUGAAAUGCUUAGAUAUCACGAAGAACUCCGAUUGCGAAGGCAGCACACUAAGCCGUAACUGACGUUCAUGCUCGAAAGUGUGGGUAUCAAACAGGAUUAGAUACCCUGGUAGUCCACGCAGUAAACGAUGAUAGCUCGUUGUCGGCGAUACACAGUCGGUGACUAAGAGAAAUCGAUAAGCUAUCCACCUGGGGAGUACGUUCGCAAGAAUGAAACUCAAAGGAAUUGACGGGGACCCGCACAAGCGGUGGAGCAUGUGGUUUAAUUCGAAGCAACGCGAAGAACCUUACCUAAGCUUGACAUCCUUUUGACCGAUGCCUAAUCGCAUCUUUCCCUUCGGGGACAGAAGUGACAGGUGGUGCAUGGUUGUCGUCAGCUCGUGUCGUGAGAUGUUGGGUUAAGUCCCGCAACGAGCGCAACCCUUAUUGCCAGUUACUACGUUAAGAGGACUCUGGCGAGACUGCCGUUGACAAAACGGAGGAAGGUGGGGAUGACGUCAAAUCAUCAUGCCCUUUAUGACCUGGGCUACACACGUGCUACAAUGGACGGUACAACGAGAAGCGAACCUGCGAAGGCAAGCGGAUCUCUGAAAGCCGUUCUCAGUUCGGACUGUAGGCUGCAACUCGCCUACACGAAGCUGGAAUCGCUAGUAAUCGCGGAUCAGCACGCCGCGGUGAAUACGUUCCCGGGCCUUGUACACACCGCCCGUCACACCAUGAGAGGCGGGGGGACCCGAAGUCGGUAGUCUAGCCGUAAGGAGGACGCCGCCGAAGGUAAAACUGGUGAUUGGGGUG
rnacentral:rRNA from 1 species